ACUCCUACGGGAGGCAGCAGUGGGGAAUAUUGGACAAUGGGCGCAAGCCUGAUCCAGCCAUACCGGCGUGUGUGAAGAAGGCUUUCGGGUUGUAAAGCACUUUCAGUGAGGAGGAAGGCCUUAAGUUUAAUACGCUUGAGGAUUGACGNACCCACAGAAGAAGCACCGGCUACUCC
rnacentral:rRNA from 1 species